AACGGAGCUUGUUGUCCUUGUUGCAUCCCUUGAUUGGCAUUGGAAUUCUGAUUAUUGCUCCAACAGAAAUUUGGGUGAUCUUUCCAACCUGGAUUGUAUGUGUUGUAAUAAGGGUUGUUCUUUUGAAAAUUUUCAAACUGAACUUCCUCACUUGUCCCUUCCAACGAACACCUUUCAUUCGCAUGUUCACCUCCAUAGAAAUCACACCUAAGUGCUUGUAC
rnacentral:lncRNA from 1 species